AGCAGCCGCGGUAAUUCCAGCUCCAAUAGCGUAUAUUAAAGUUGUUGCAGUUAAAAAGCUCGUAGUUGAAUUUCGGGAUUGACGUGAUGGUCGUGCCUUAAGGGGUAUGAACUGUUGCUGUUGAUUUCUCACCUUCUGGAGAAACUUGAUGUCCUUAAUUGGGUGUCUUGCGGAUCCAGGACCUUUACCUUGAAAAAAUUAGAGUGUUUAAAGCAGGCAUUUUGCUCGAAUACAUUAGCAUGGAAUAAUAGAAUAGGACGGCAUGGUUCUAUUUUGUUGGUUUCUAGGAUCACCGUAAUGAUUAAUAGGGAUAGUUGGGGGCAUUAGUAUUCAAUUGUCAGAGGUGAAAUUCUUGGAUUUAUUGAAGACUAACUACUGCGAAAGCAUUUGCCAAGGAUGUUUUCAUUAAUCAAGAACGAAAGUUAGGGGAUCGAAGACGAUCAGAUACCGUCGUAGUCUUAACCAUAAACUAUG
rnacentral:rRNA from 1 species